UACGUAGGGGGCAAGCGUUGUCCGGAAUUAUUGGGCGUAAAGAGCGCGUAGGCGGUCUGAUAAGUCGGUUGUGAAAGUCGGGGGCUCAACCCUCGGAUGCCGAUCGAUACUGUCAGGCUAGAGUCCGGAAGAGGCGAGUGGAAUUCCUGGUGUAGCGGUGAAAUGCGCAGAUAUCAGGAGGAACACCUAUUGCGAAGGCAGCUCGCUGGGACGUAACUGACGCUGAGACGCGAAAGCGUGGGGAGCAAACAGG
rnacentral:rRNA from 1 species